rnacentral:rRNA from 1 species
CAAGUCGAACGCGGUUAGUAGCAAUACUAACUGAGUGGCAAACGGGUGAGUAACACGUGGGUGACCUACCUUCGAGUGGGGGAUAACGUCCCGAAAGGGACGCUAAUACCGCAUAACAUCCUGUUCUUGAACGGAUGGAGAUCAAAGCCGGGGAUCGCAAGACCUGGCGCUUGAUGAGGGGCCCGCGUCUGAUUAGCUAGUUGGUGAGGUAACGGCCCACCAAGGCGACGAUCAGUAUCCGGCCUGAGAGGGCGGACGGACACACUGGGACUGAGACACGGCCCAGACUCCUACGGGAGGCAGCAGUGGGGAAUUGUUCACAAUGGGCGCAAGCCUGAUGACGCAACGCCGCGUGGAGGAUGAAGGUCUUCGGAUUGUAAACUCCUGUUGCUCGGGACGAAAAGCCUCGACCUAAUACGUCGAGGUCUGACGGUACCGAGUGAGGAAGCCCCGGCUAACUCUGUGCCAGCAGCCGCGGUAAUACAGAGGGGGCAAGCGUUGUUCGGAAUUACUGGGCGUAAAGGGCGCGUAGGCGGCCCGCUAAGUCGAACGUGAAAUCCCCGAGCUCAACUCGGGAACUGCGUCCGAUACUGGCGGGCUUGAAUCCGGGAGAGGGAUGCGGAAUUCCAGGUGUAGCGGUGAAAUGCGUAGAUAUCUGGAGGAACACCGGUGGCGAAGGCGGCAUCCUGGACCGGCAUUGACGCUGAGGCGCGAAAGCUAGGGGAGCAAACGGGAUUAGAUACCCCGGUAGUCCUAGCCCUAAACGAUGAAUGCUUGGUGUGGCGGGUAUCGAUCCCUGCCGUGCCGAAGCUAACGCAUU